GACGAACGCUGGCGGCGUGCCUAAUACAUGCAAGCCGAACGAGAGCGACCGGUGCUUGCACUGGUCAAUCUAGUGGCGAACGGGUGAGUAACACGUGGGUAACCUGCCCAUCAGAGGGGGAUAACAUCCGGAAACGGAUGCUAAAACCGCAUAGGUCUUCGAGCCGCAUGGCUUGAAGAGGAAAAGAGGCGCAAGCUUCUGCUGAUGGAUGGACCCGCGGUGCAUUAGCUAGUUGGUGAGGUAACGGCUCACCAAGGCCGUGAUGCAUAGCCGACCUGAGAGGGUGAUCGGCCACAUUGGGACUGAGACACGGCCCAAACUCCUACGGGAGGCAGCAGUAGGGAAUCUUCCGCAAUGGACGCAAGUCUGACGGAGCAACGCCGCGUGAGUGAAGAAGGUUUUCGGAUCGUAAAACUCUGUUGUUAGAGAAGAACAAGUGCUAGAGUAACUGUUAGCGCCUUGACGGUAUCUAACCAGAAAGCCACGGCUAACUACGUG
rnacentral:rRNA from 1 species